rnacentral:lncRNA from 1 species
AUGGCAGGAUCUGCCUCAGGACCACUGCUCCCCCCAGCCUGUUCCCCUGGGAGCUGCCAAGGGGACAAGGGGUCACAGCCAACCUCUGAUUUCUGGAGUGCUCUGGAGGAACUGGCAGCAACUCGGAUGCACAGGAGGAGAAUCUGUAACGGAGACCAAGCUGGGGGUUGGACAGUGCUUGGCUUCUUGAUGUGUGUUGGGGCUGGAGAGAAAAUGCCUCCUCCAAUGCUGCUGCCCAGUGGCCACAGCAGCUCAUCCAGCAGCACGGGGAGAGCAGGAUGGGAAAGCAGCACCUCAUCAGACACCCAGGAGCUCGGGCUCAGCCCCUGCCCGCUGUCACAGCACCUGUGCCAGUGUCCCUGCAAUGCUCCUGGCCCAUCCCAGGCAUCACUGCAGGGGAAAAAAGGCAUUGAGUGUGAAGCCCAGGAAGUCAAAGAUGUAAACACUCCCUUGGAGUCGGGAGAUGUCAGUCUCUCCACCAAGAAGACACAAGGGACAGAACAGGGUGAUCUCAGUGUGGUCUCAGGCCUGGUGAGGGACAGAGGUCGUGGUGAGGCCCAAGGGGGGUGGGACAAUGCCGAGGGCACCGAGUUCCCCAACUCUGUGCUUUUGGGAAUGCUCAGGCAGUGCAGUGAAGGGGAAAUGCUGCAGGUGAGCAGCAGCAUCCAGCUACUGCAGUCCAGGCUCCCUGGCCCGGAGCUAGGGGCUGUUGCUACUAAGAAAGUUCAUUUUGGCUUUAUCUUAUUAAAAGAAUUAAUAACUACCAGCUGUCUCAGUUGGGGCUCACCACAAUUCCUUCAACCAAGAUCCCUGGCUGAUAUUAAAGGAUGCCACAUGAUGAGUGGAAGAACCUCUGGUGAAAUCAGAAUUUUCUGGAGUGUUGUGGAGGUAUCAGAGGGUGGAAAUCCAGGCUGUGAGCUGGUCAUGAGCAGGAUUUUCCCAGGGCACAGGGUGCAAAACCAGUUUUUAAAAGGAGUGAACGGGGAGCAGAUCAGCAAAUUUCUGCUGGAUUUGGAGCUGUCUCAGCUGGUGCUGGAGCCAGUGAAAAGCCUGGACCAUGUUCUUCUAAAGGCAGAAGGAGUCCAUCAUGGAGAGAGGAGGGAUUUGCAUUAA